AAGCUACGUUGAAAUAUCAGUUCCCAUACAAUCACCAACGUUAAGCAAUGUUGAGCCUGGUUAAUACUUAGAUGAAUGAUCAUUUGGGAAUACCAGGUGCUGUAAG